GGAGCAGAGGGCUGGCAGCCUUAGGCCUGGGGGGCAAAACCAGUCAAGUAGACUGGUGCACCUGCCCAGGAUCAGAGCCGGUGCAAGGAUUUUUGCCGCCCUAGACAAAAUAAAAUUUGCUGCCCCCACAUGUCACAUCACAAUGCCCCACCCAUAUGAUCUGCCAUAUGAACUAACGCCAGUGCUGCACACAGUGUGUGUUUACAUUAAAAAGCCUGCGGGGACCAGCUAUAGACACCAGAACCACUUCAUUAAGCUAUAGUGUCCCUUUAAUGUGAGGUACAUUAUAGAUUAGUGUCACUAAUAAUAUACUAGAUUGCCUACUUACAAGCAGAUGAGGAUGAUGAUGAUGGGCUGCAGUUUGGCUCCACUGGUCUGGUGUAGAACAGGAUCUCUGGAGGCUGUUUGCAACUGUGGUCACAAAAUUCAAUGUUCUGGGAGAAUUGGAAGCAGCUCAAUUUUUUUGGGGCCCCUUACACAGCUCAAGGUCUGGGCCCCAGGGCCUGGCGGUGAGUAUGCCCA